GUCGUGUGUGUGUGUGUGUGUGUGUGUGUGCGCGCUCGCGCACGCGCGUGCACCCCCCCAUGCACACAUU
rnacentral:pre_miRNA from 1 species